AGCCCAUAUCACAACCAGGAACACCAUAGAAAGGUGUUUUGGUGUCUGGAAAAGGCGUUUUCCCUGUUUACAAAAAGGUAUGACAUUAAGAAAAACAACAACAAUUUUGAAUGUAAUUGUGGCAACAGCAGUACUACACAACAUUGCGAAAGAUGAACAGCCCCCCCAAGAUCUAAGUGUAGACUUUGAUCUAGAAGAAGCCUCAUUAGAAGAAUUGCACAGUGCAUUUCAAUAUGGCGAG
rnacentral:misc_RNA from 1 species